GGGAGAGUGCGCCGAAUUGGGUGAAGGCAGCGGGCUGUAAACUCGUGACAUAGAAACACUGGAGGUUCGAAUCCUCCCUCUCCCA
rnacentral:tRNA from 1 species